UACGGAGGGUGCAAGCGUUAAUCGGAAUUACUGGGCGUAAAGCGCGCGUAGGCGGCUAGAUAAGUCGGAUGUGAAAGCCCCGGGCUCAACCUGGGAACUGCAUUCGAUACUGUCUGGCUAGAGUAUGAGAGAGGGAGGUAGAAUUCCACAUGUAGCGGUGAAAUGCGUAGAUAUGUGGAGGAAUACCGGUGGCGAAGGCGGCCUCCUGGCUUAAUACUGACGCUGAGGUGCGAAAGCAUGGGUAGCGAACGGG
rnacentral:rRNA from 1 species